GACGAACGCUGGCGGCGUGCUUAACACAUGCAAGUCGAGCGGAAAGGCCCUGCUUUUGUGGGGUGCUCGAGUGGCGAACGGGUGAGUAACACGUGAGUAACCUGCCCUUGACUUUGGGAUAACUUCAGGAAACUGGGGCUAAUACCGGAUAGGAGCUCCUGCUGCAUGGUGGGGGUUGGAAAGUUUCGGCGGUUGGGGAUGGACUCGCGGCUUAUCAGCUUGUUGGUGGGGUAGUGGCUUACCAAGGCUUUGACGGGUAGCCGGCCUGAGAGGGUAACCGGCCACAUUGGGACUGAGAUACGGCCCAGACUCCUACGGGAGGCAGCAGUGGGGAAUAUUGCACAAUGGGCGGAAGCCUGAUGCAGCAACGCCGCGUGCGGGAUGACGGCCUUCGGGUUGUAAACCGCUUUCGCCUGUGACGAAGCGUGAGUGACGGUAAUGGGUAAAGAAGCACCGGCUAACUACGUG
rnacentral:rRNA from 1 species